GGAUAAGGCUGGAUCUUGUUUUGAGGUUACUUAUAUACCCCUGAAUCAACUUAUUACUUUGGUGAUAUGAUAGGUGGAACUCUUACCUUUUUACACGAGGAAGAAACCAGAAGAUGUCUUGAGCUUUCAGUAACCUUGGAGUUAUCCGAGACUAUAAGUCGUCGCUCAGCACAUCCUUCUAGAAAAUAUUCCCCAACAAUUACAA